rnacentral:rRNA from 1 species
ACAUCAAUAACCCCUAACACCCUCAAUUUACCCCAAACAAACCAUUUUUCCUCCCUAGUACAGGCGAUAGAAAAGGAACUGCGGAGCGACAGAAAAAGUACCGCAAGGGAAA